rnacentral:rRNA from 1 species
UACGUAGGGUGCAAGCGUUGUCCGGAAUUAUUGGGCGUAAAGAGCUCGUAGGCGGUCUGUCACGUCGGCUGUGAAAACUCGGGGCUCAACCCCGAGCCUGCAGUCGAUACGGGCAGACUAGAGUCCGGCAGGGGAGACUGGAAUUCCUGGUGUAGCGGUGAAAUGCGCAGAUAUCAGGAGGAACACCGGUGGCGAAGGCGGGUCUCUGGGCCGAUAUUGACGCUGAGGAGCGAAAGCGUGGGGAGCGAACAGG